rnacentral:tRNA from 1 species
UGGAGGGUAGCCAAGAGGUAAGGCGACGGAGUUUGGUUCCGCGAUCAUAGGUUCGAGCCCUAUCCCUCCAG